GGGCCUGCAUUUCAGAAACGAAACUCACGAGAACAGGACCUGUCUUGUAGAGGGAGAUAAGGCAAUGCUAGGAUGACCAACUGUCCAGUUUGACCCCAGACCAUCUUGGUUUAGCAUGGAAAGGCUUGUGUCCCAGGAAACCACUCAGUCCCAGGCAAACUGGAAAGUUGGUCGCCCUACUGGGCUUAGUAGGCUGGCUUAUCAUGGCAGCUUUAUUGUGCUUUGAAGUGAUUUGGUGUUUUACUUAAAUUUUAAACCCAAGAAAAGCCUCUGAGCAUAUUGUGAAAUGGCAUGUAACCACAUGUAACUGAUGACUGCCAGUUAGAACCUUCAGCUUUUCUAAAUCUCUCUUCUCACAAGUUGUGGUGGGUCAGGGUUCCUAAACUUGUCUGCACAUUGGAAUCACCUGGGGAGCUUAAAAAAAAAGAGGAAGAAAGUGAUCUCUGUGUUCUACAUCACCCAAUUGUGAGUUAAUUGGUUUAAGGUGUGACCUGGGUGCUCCUAGUUUUAAAAGGUCCCCAGACGAUUCAAAUCUACAGACAAAUCCCACCAUCAGUAUCCCUGUGGUAGAUAGUAUUCAAAGAUGGCAGCCAUGACUACCUCUCUCUUUCUGGACACAUGCCAUUCAUCAGAGCCUCCAUGUGAGAGGUCUGAUUAUCCUGAGUCCACGCUGCUGUGAGGAGAGCAGUCGCUGAGUGAAGGAGCAGCUGGGCACAGACGUGUUCUUGGACCUUCUAGACCAGCCCAGCUAACAGCUGAAUUUGCCCAAGUGGGAGGCCCCAGCUGAAGCCACUAGGAUUGGAACUGUGCAGAACACGGUGUAUCGUUACAGUUUUUGAAUCUUCUGCUCGCACCCUAACAGAUGGAUGCUACCUGUGUGCUGCCUGGCUUUGUUGUGACACUCUGCCUGUCCUGCCUCCUCAAGACCAGAUUCUCAUGCUCCAGGUCUUCCUCCCGUAAUAGAUUAUCUAUUAAACUACACCCACCAGGCCUGAGUCAUUUGAAAUCUGAUUCUGAUGAUGAUUGGGAUGGACACAAACUGACCAAUUUAUCUUAGAAUGGGUCUACGCUAUUGCAGAAUCUUUCAAAAGACACUCAGUAGUGGACAGGUGAAGGUGGAAGAAAGGAUUCUCCCUAUUUAUUUCAACAUGUGUUGGCUGGCCUACCUGUUUGUAAACAGUCCCCUGCCAUCCUGUGAGCCAAAUGACGGAGAAAUGGGCUUAGAAUUGAGGGGAAAAUGCUUCCACAUUUUGUGAGCAAUAAGAAAAGGAAAGGAACAAGUAAUGUGAUUCUUUAAAGGUUAAAUAGAGUAAUACCUCCCAACUCAGCUUUGCUGGAGAAAGAGCUGCUCCAUAAGUGAAUUUUAAAGAAAGAUUUUAAGCACCAAAAACUUUGUAAAAACCUAUUUUGACCAUUAUAAGAUUGAAAUCUUUCUAAGAUGUAUUGCACACUCUCCUGCUUUGCUUUCUGAAUCAGAGCUCUCCUAACAUCAGCUAUUU
rnacentral:lncRNA from 1 species